AGAGUUUGCUCCUGGCUCAGGACGAACGCUGGCGGCGCGCCUAACACAUGCAAGUCGAACGAGAGAUGAGGAGCUUGCUCUUCAAAUCGAGUGGCGAACGGGUGAGUAACGCGUGAGGAACCUGCCUCAAAGAGGGGGACAACAGUUGGAAACGACUGCUAAUACCGCAUAAGCCCACGGCUCGGCAUCGAGCAGAGGGAAAAGGAGCAAUCCGCUUUGAGAUGGCCUCGCGUCCGAUUAGCUAGUUGGUGAGGUAACGGCCCACCAAGGCGACGAUCGGUAGCCGGACUGAGAGGUUGAACGGCCACAUUGGGACUGAGACACGGCCCAGACUCCUACGGGAGGCAGCAGUGGGGAAUAUUGCACAAUGGGGGAAACCCUGAUGCAGCGACGCCGCGUGGAGGAAGAAGGUCUUCGGAUUGUAAACUCCUGUUGUUGAGGAAGAUAAUGACGGUACUCAACAAGGAAGUGACGGCUAACUACGUGCCAGCAGCCGCGGUAAAACGUAGGUCACAAGCGUUGUCCGGAAUUACUGGGUGUAAAGGGAGCGCAGGCGGGAGAACAAGUUGGAAGUGAAAUCCAUGGGCUCAACCCAUGAACUGCUUUNCAAACUGUUUUUCUUGAGUAGUGCAGAGGUANGCGGAAUUCCCGGUGUAGCGGUGGAAUGCGUAGAUAUCGGGAGGAACACCAGUGGCGAAGGCGGCCUACUGGGCACCAACUGACGCUGAGGCUCGAAAGUGUGGGUAGCAAACAGGAUUAGAUACCCUGGUAGUCCACACCGUAAACGAUGAUUACUAGGUGUUGGAGGAUUGACCCCUUCAGUGCCGCAGUUAACACAAUAAGUAAUCCACCUGGGGAGUACGACCGCAAGGUUGAAACUCAAAGGAAUUGACGGGGGCCCGCACAAGCAGUGGAGUAUGUGGUUUAAUUCGACGCAACACGAAGAACCUUACCAAGUCUUGACAUCCCUUGACGAACAUAGAAAUAUGUUUUCUCUUCGGAGCAAGGAGACAGGUGGUGCAUGGUUGUCGUCAGCUCGUGUCGUGAGAUGUUGGGUUAAGUCCCGCAACGAGCGCAACCCUUAUGGUCAGUUACUACGCAAGAGGACUCUGGCCAGACUGCCGUUGACAAAACGGAGGAAGGUGGGGAUGACGUCAAAUCAUCAUGCCCUUUAUGACUUGGGCUACACACGUACUACAAUGGCGUUAAACAAAGAGAAGCAAGACCGCGAGGUGGAGCAAAACUCAGAAACAACGUCCCAGUUCGGACUGCAGGCUGCAACUCGCCUGCACGAAGUCGGAAUUGCUAGUAAUCGUGGAUCAGCAUGCCACGGUGAAUACGUUCCCGGGCCUUGACACACCGCCCGUCA
rnacentral:rRNA from 1 species